GCCUGGGUGGCUCAGUCGGUUAAGCGUCUGACUUCGGCUCAGGUCAUGAUCUCGCGGUCUGUGAGUUCAAGCCCCAUGUCGGGCU
rnacentral:tRNA from 1 species